rnacentral:misc_RNA from 1 species
CCGAGUGAGGCCUCCGGGCCGACCUCCAACCCUUCACCCACCAUGUUGCCUCGGGGGUGACCCGGCCUUCGGGCGUCGGGGCCCCCGGUGGACCUGUCAACUCUGCAUCUUUGCGUCUGAGUAACGAUGAAUCAAUCA